UACGAAGGACCCAAGCGUUAUCCGGAUUUAUUGGGUUUAAAGGGUGCGUAGGCGGAUUUGUAAGUCAGUGGUGAAAUCCUGCAGCUUAACUGCAGAACUGCCAUUGAAACUGCUUAUCUUGAGUACAUUUGAGGCGGGCGGAAUGUGUCAUGUAGCGGUGAAAUGCUUAGAUAUGACACAGAACACCGAUUGCGAAGGCAGCUCGCUAAACUGUAACUGACGCUGAUGCACGAAAGCGUGGGGAUCC
rnacentral:rRNA from 1 species